UCUGUCAUUUCUAUAGGCCAAU
rnacentral:miRNA from 1 species